rnacentral:rRNA from 1 species
UACGAAGGGGGCUAGCGUUGCUCGGAAUUACUGGGCGUAAAGCGCACGUAGGCGGCUUUCUAAGUCGGGGGUGAAAUCCUGGAGCUCCACUCCAGAACUGCCUUCGAUACUGGAAGCUCGAGUCCGGGAGAGGUGAGUGGAACUGCGAGUGUAGAGGUGAAAUUCGUAGAUAUUCGCAAGAACACCAGUGGCGAAGGCGGCUCACUGGCCCGGUACUGACGCUGAGGUGCGAAAGCGUGGGGAGCAAACAGG